rnacentral:snRNA from 1 species
GGAUGUGAGGGCAGUCUGAUUGCGACAUUUGUCACCCCAUUGAUCACCAGGGUUGAUUCAACUGAUCUGGCUGUCUAGGUGGAUGUCCCCUUGCUCCCUCACCACUCCAUGUGCAUCCCUCCCAAAGCUGCAUGCUCAUCGAAGAGGGCAACCUUUUCCCAAAUACAGACAGACCUGUCUCCAGUAGGUUGAGGGUAUAUGGAGUAGCUGCGCUUCCUCUGCUAGCACCUCCCAACAAUCUCUCAAGGUUCAUUUGUAGGAGACGUAGGGGUUGUCAGCUUNNNNNNNNN